rnacentral:rRNA from 1 species
UACGUAGGGUGCGAGCGUUGUCCGGAAUUACUGGGCGUAAAGAGCUCGUAGGUGGUUUGUCGCGUUGUCCGUGAAAACUCACAGCUUAACUGUGGGCGUGCGGGCGAUACGGGCAGACUGGAGUACUGCCGGGGAGACUGGAAUUCCUGGUGUAGCGGUGGAAUGCGCAGAUAUCAGGAGGAACACCGGUGGCGAAGGCGGUGGUCUGGGCCGGCACUGACGCUGAGGAGCGAAAGCGUGGGGAGCGAACAGG